rnacentral:lncRNA from 10 species
CCGGGCUAAUUUUGUAUUUUUAGUAGAGAUGGUGUUUCACCACGUUGGUCAAGCUGGUCUUGAACUCCUGACCUCAGGUGAUCCGCCUGCCUCGGCCUCCCGAAGUGCUGGGACUACAGGCGUGAGCCACCGCGCCCGGCCCCAGUUGAAUGGUCUUAAUGGCUCUUUUUGCAAUUCUAGAACCAGGCACAGAUCAUUCUAUAAAACAGAACGAGGGCUCUGGCGUGCUGGGUAGAGGAGGUUGGUUUUGUAGACAGAAAGGGGCUGAGGAAGCAGACACAGAACAAAAAGCAGAUCGGUCAUUUCCAAGAGGUUUUCCUUGGAAGGUUCCAGCAGAGGGGACUUCCUCAUCAUGCCGGCAAGACCUGGCUUGUUUGGGGCUAUUCUCUGUCUCCUGGUUUCCUGGAAGGUGAGAUGAACAAGUUAGUUUUGGCUUGAUGACGUGGAGCUCUAGCACGAGUGGCUGCGUUUUGGUCUGUUCUGCCAGGCCUCCUGCAGGAGCUCAGGCCAGACCAGUGGCCUCCUACGAAUUUUAUCAAACGCGACUCAGACGAUGCCGUUCAGGUGAGUGGAACGUGCACAGCGCUGCUCCCCAACUCCCUGUCCGACUUCUAAAUCUCUGCACUUUCAGCCUAAACGUCUGGAGAUCCGGAGAACAAGUCCUCCAAGGCGGGGUCUCCCUGAGAUGGCCCCUGCAGCUGGGCAAAAGGUCCCUCCAGACCACGUGGCCCUUGUGUUGGGAGCGGAGACUCAUCAGGGCGGGGAGGGCCUGAGACCGUGGGAGCAGAGGCUCGGCCGGGCAGCAGCUCUCCCUGCCCUCAGGGGGCCAUGAGCUCCGCAGGCCCCAGAGCCCUGUGUGCACUUUUCACGCUUUUUCUCAGGCAAGGUUGAGAACCAAGCCCAGCACUGCCUGGUCCAGCCCCUGGGAAGGAAGGCAGGGCCGGGAGCCCCUCCUGCCGCCAGCAGCGACCCUGUCUCGGAAGGUUGUCUUUUCAGGGACGCUUGUACAGCAGACAGCCUUGGAAGAAAGAGAGAGAGUCUCACUCAGGAGCUCAGGACAGCUUACCUUCACAGGUGCAGAUGAAGGACAGAACUCAAAGCCAUCCCUCUGCUCCCCUGAGACAAACGCAUAUCUGACUGCUUCCUCGGCCCUGUUGUCUCACUGAGCCAGACUAAGGCACACGUGGCCCUUCCCCUACCCCCUCUCACAUGUGGAUUGUGUAUUCAGUGAAAGGCUGAUCAGAGACUCAUAGAAUGCAACCAUCUAUUGCUUAUCAACAUUAACUGGAAGCCGCUGCUUCGAGUUGUCUCAAGUUGUCCUGCCUUUCUAGACCAAACCAAUGUACAUCUUACAUAUGUAUAUAUUUUAAUAUUUAUUUAUUUAUUUUGAGUUGGAGUCUUGCUCUGUUGCCCAGGCUGGAGUGCAAUGGUGUGAUCUUGGCUCACUACAACCUCCAUCUCCCAGGUUCAAGCGAUUCUCC